AUACGGAGGGGGUUAGCGUUGUUCGGAAUUACUGGGCGUAAAGCGCACGUAGGCGGACUGGAAAGUUGGGGGAGAAAUCCCGGGGCUCAACCCCGGAACUGCCUCCAAAACUUCCAAUCUAGAGAUCGAGAGAGGUGAGUGGAAUUCCAAGUGUAGAGGUGAAAGUCGUAGAUAUUUGGAGGAACACCAGUGGCGAAGGCGGCUCACUGGCUCGAUACUGACGCUGAGGUGCGAAAGCGUGGGGAGCAAACAGGAUUAGAUACCCUAGUAGUCC
rnacentral:rRNA from 1 species